CUUUAUUGCAGGAAGUACUGACAUUAGAAGAGCAAGGAUUCUCUGGUCCUCAUCGGGAAUGGUGAGGUGGAAGAUUGUCUAAAAUUAGACAUUAGUCUUGGAAUGGGUCUCUCUCAAAAAUUGUACUGUAAUUACGUGUCUUUAGGAAGAAGGGCGUUGCUCUGUUUCUUUACACACUGAACUCCACCACAUCGUUCUUGGAAUUACAAUGCUCUUACCAUAUAUAUUUCUAUUUGUUUUUUUCCAACAUUCUUGCUUUUCUGCUGUCGGCAGGCUUUGAACCAGAACCUGCCAAAGGCACUCGUUACCUCUGUGUGUUUUCUCAAGUCUGAAGAAUAAUGAUUUAUUGCUAUACUGCUAAAGAGGAGUCAGGAAAAUUCCCUCUCCCUUGUCUGCCUGUUCGCAGCACAGUGUUAGGUAGCUCCUGAGGCACAGGGUGUGUUUUCCCCUUUGUAAACACGUGGUUUACAUCUCGUGUUGCUAAAUGCAUUCAUUACAGGAGGAUAUCUCAUCCCUGAGACCUGCACAAGGUUUCCCCCCGCACAGCUCGCCCACCCGUAAGCCUGUCAGGGAGGUCACCAGAGAUGCACAGUUUAAUGGUCCAGCUGAGUGCUGGUCCCAGAACUUCUUGGUAGAAUCUUUCCAGACCCAUUGCAGCAACCACUGGUGAAGGCUUAUCUUCGGCAGUUUAUGAAUCCAAACUUGAGGCCGUUUGGGCUUCAUGGUAAAAUCCAGACAUUCUUACUUGGGGUGUGAUUUAUCCCAUUCUGGUGGGUGCCAGCUUCUCAGUUCUUUUUCAGGCAACGAGAUGAAUAUUUGGCCAAUAAUUAUGUCAGAAAAAUCUGCACAGAUAUCCCCCGUUACAAAUAAACCUGUUAGCCUAGGACACUUAGCUAGUACCACUACUCCAGCCAGCGUCAGACCCAAGUAAUGCCCAAUGUCCCGAGCCUGCACUGGGACUAGCUGCAUCCUCAGGGAAAAGAAUUUCACUGUUGAUAGAUCAAUGCCAGCUCCUUACCUCAGAAAUGUACAGAGUCUGAAAGUAUGUGCAUAGAGGACUUUUGUUUUAGUGAAGGAUAUAAUCUGUAGAAGUGAAAAUCCAUCUUAAAAAUUUACCGUAUUAACCUGUUCAUGUUUAAUUACCCAGGAAAGUUGAAGGUCAUAUUGUUCUCAUACCAUCAAGGCAAACACUAGAGACUCACAACAGGUUAUGGAGGAUUUUAGUGAGUUCUGUGCCUUUUUCUUUAUUUAAUUUUCAUGUUAUUAAUGUAAGUCAAUCUUCUGAGUGUUUUAGCAGCUACUUCAAAUGUUAAUUGUCAAUAGGAAAAGAGAAUCUAGCAUCUUGGCAUGGCUGUGCUUUAUUGGAUCACAGAUAGAAACAUUUAAAUUCAGGAUGAUUUUCUCAUUCCAGUAUUUUGUCCCAAUCAAAAAUCACUGGUUCAGACAGGGUUAGGAGAUCUGAGGAAUGCAGUGUCUGCACUUAACUAAUGCCAACAGCAGAUGUCACAUUAGUGGCCACUCUGCUUUCUUAUGGUUUCAUUUAGCCAAAAUCUGCCAAAUACCCAUUUGGUUUAUUUUUAAAGUCCUGAGCCUGCAAGUGACAGAAUUACCUUUUAUUAUUUCAUAUGGGAUUUGUCAAGUUUUAACAUUCCCCUGGGAGACACAGAGAGUGGGGUUUAUCUUUUGGAAUAGUGUUCCAGGACAGUCAGAUGGGGUUCUCUGCAUGCAGAUGAAACUACAGACUUCUGGCUACCUUGUCACCCUCUCAUUGCACUCAGCAGAAUGUCAGUCUGGUGGCAACACUCAUGGAGCUGGAUCCAGAUUUUCUGAAGUGAGGCUUCAAAUCUGGUCUCUGAAAAUUUUACGGAUGCCCUGUUUCAUCACCCUCCUGUGAGUUGGGUUAGCUGGGGGAAGCCCCUUCCUGCAGGUCCCCGUUACGGGCCCGGGGGUGCACAGGCAGUCAGCGGUGAAGCCCCAUUUCUCUGCCACAGGGGAGCAGGCAGGACCCAGCGCCUGGGGCUGAACACGGAGCCCCCCAGCGUUACACUACCUUUCUAAUGCUGCCCGCUGAUUAACACCCGCGCUUUGUUCCCUUGGCUGACCCCGUGGCUGCCCCUCCAGAGCCCCCCAUGAAGGCUGCCUGUCCCUACACCCUGCUCUGCUCUUGGCUGUAGAAAGUUGGUCUGUGUGGGACCCAGGGAAGUCCAUCACCUGGUGUAAAAGGCAAGAUUAUCUCAUUUCUGACAGAUAGGUCUGACCUGUCCUUUAAAACUCCAGCUGGAGGGAAAUGGCACAAUCUCUCUUGAGCACCUUGUCAGUACUUGGCUAACUUUAUGAUUAGAAAAUGGUUUGUGAUGUCAGGCUUAUUUCUUCCUCCCUUUAAUGUGCUUUAUUGUUACUGUUCUAUCCACAACAGACAUGAAAGACAGCUUAUUCUCUUCCGUUUGGCAGCAGCCUCUUACAUAAUGGUGAACUUCUUCUAAUUUUCCCUGUCAUUCUUUUUUCUUGAAAAAAAAAAAAACAAACAAACAACCCUGUUUGACUCUCCACUGCAGUCCCCAAAUCCCCUUCUACAGAAGUGCAACUGAGCCCAUGGUUACCCAUCUUGUUUAUAGGCAUGACAUUUCUUCUUUAAAGUAGCAUUGUGCGCUGUACUGAAUUCCAUUUUAACAAUUCAGAUAAUUUCUCCAAUUUAUGUAGAUCAGUUUUGAACUCUAAUCCCAUUUCCAAAGUGAUUGCAAUGCCUUCCACUUUGUUAUAAUCUUUAAAUUUCAUCCCCCAUGUUGAUUAGAAUAGCUAAUAGUGCAGAUUGAGGGUGGGGUAUAUCGCCCACGUUUGAGAGUGGUGCAGUCGUGAUUUUGCACUCACGUUUCAACCUUGAUAGUGAGUUUAUCUGAAAGGGGUUUUCCUGUAAAUAGUGAUAUCUCAUCUGCUGCUUCCCCAUCUUUAGUAAGACCUAUGAAAGAAGGUAACUAGAUUUGCCUAACCUUUCCCCCUUACAAUCCCAUAUUGGCUGUUUGUUAUCACCUCAUUUUCUUCUAUGUAUCAACAGACUGAUCUUUUAAUUAUUUUCCAGCCUCCUUAUAGGCUUUAACAUUGGUUCCUCAGGUCCUCCUCUUAAAGUGCUUUAUUUGUCCCUCUGUAACUACAGCAUUUGUGGCCCCAUCCCUGCACUUGCUGCAUGCCUUCUCAAGAUGAUUGCAGGUGGCCAAGCAAUUGCUGUGUCCGGCUCCCUGAGAACCCUCGGGUAUCGUUUAAUAAGCCUCCAUGGACACACAAUUUACAGAAAUAGUCUUAGCCUUUUAAGGGUUUGAACAUUGGGUCACAGCUGGUGUUUCGGUGAGGGCUCACAUAAAAAGGGCAUGGUAACCUCCUUAUCAUGCAGCACUUGCUUUCCUUUUUUCCUUCCCUGUUAAGUAAUGGUUGUGUACUUUGCUUUUAUUGUUUGUUCUAAUAUAUUCAUAGAAACUUUUGUUAGUCUUGCUUGCAGCUUUGUUUACUGAUCACUUAGUGCUCUUCCCUUUACCUCAGCAUAGGCUGCUUAUUUUUUCAUCGUCUUCACCAGAAGAAUAUGCAUCAGAUUUUCUUGGAUGGUCUCAUUUGCUGUCAUCAACCGUUAAGAUGUUAUUUAGAGAAGAAGCUGAAAUCAUUAGACUGGAGUAUUACAAAAAUAGCUCUCUGUAUUUUAACCUUCCCAAUGCCUGUCAGAUGUGCAAUUUCACCACUAAAUAUUUUGGGUCUACUGCAGUUUUUAAAUACAUGUGGAAUGGUGGGUUUGAGUGCUUUUGGGUUACACAAUACAUGAGAAGAGGGUCCUUGGUUUGCUUUGAAUUGUUGUUUGGAGGAACGUUUGCUCAGUCCUGUGAAAAUCAGGUCACUGAUCUCAGCAGCCAGCCUUUAGUUAAACAAAACUAAGAGUUGACCAGCCUGAGUUCAGUUAAUCAAUUAUAAAAUGGCUUUGCUAAUUCUGGAGCCACAGCGAACUGCGGAGGAGUACGGGCAUUUGUUCAAAGGCUGGCUGAGCGAGCAGAAGCAAACCAGGGCAAGGUCAUCUUUAACACCACCUAAAGGCUCAGACGUCCGUGCAAGGCUGGAGGAUGCAUGCAGCCAUGCCGAUGCUACAGCAGAUUCACUUUAUUUGGGAUUGAGAAAUGGAUGACAAAGAGCUGAGCUGUCUUCUGGCCUCACAGCUGAAUUGAAGCAGUUUUCCCAUAAAUUACAAGGAAAUUUUCCUACAGGCAGAGCUACAAGGGUGACACAUUUUGGAUCCAAAUCUAGACUUAACAUGUUUAGCCAGUUGUAAUUUCUUUUUUAGGCCAGUGUAAGAGUUUUCUAGUGGGCUACUCGGUCUAUGAGCAGACAGGUGUGUUCACACCGAAGUCAGUUCUCGUGGAACAAGUCCCUGUGAUGCAGAGCCCACUCUGCAGUUCAUCCACAAGCUACAAAACCACCACCGUUAGCUCUCACAGUAAAGCCUCGCUAGCAGGGAAGAGAACAAAACAAGCCAAAGAGGAGGAACAGAAUGUUAAGUUACCAUUAAAUCGAACUGGGGUGGUGAACAGAUUAUCUGUGCAGAUUGCAGAGUCCAGCUCUGAGUGAGAAAACUAAUUUUACUGACCUGAAGAAUCUCGCCGGCUGAAACUCAGUUUCAUGUCCUGGGGAUCCCGAUGGACUUCAGAUACUGAAGGUAAGGGGGAAAAAAAGGCUUUAAAAUCAUCUGUCCCCUUUCCUUGCCAAUGCAGAGCUAUUUGUUUCUGUGCAUAAUCCAGGCUACUUUUAAACAUGCUAAUGACUUUCCACUGCAUUGCUGAAAGGAGAUGAACAGUGAAGGUAUCCUGCUCAAGUUAUGAUGAAUUCCCCUUUAACCAUAGCACUUGAAAGCAUCUUAAAUAUACAUCGGAGAAGUACAACAACAGUUCUUGUCUUUCUGCCACAAUUUGUAAUUAACUGGCUUCACUGAUUUGUAAGGAUUUUUGCCCCUGUUGCUUUCUGGUUAUUUUCUUUGUAUAAAUGAGUUGCCAUGCUCUUUGUGUGUGCAGUGUUUUUGAGGAGAUACAAGUGUUUUCGGGCUGUAAGUAGCUCUGAAGCAGUCACAUUCAGCUCUCAUCCUGUUUCUACCUCCAGCACGUUUAUUUGCUUGUUUUCACUCUGGAUUGCAAAGCAGAUGGUGGAGUAACCACAGAGGCCAUUUCUUCAUUAUUUUCAAAGGAAAUAUGGGCAGAAUUCUAGACCCUGGAGAAAAUACAGCUAAGCUAAAUUUUGAAAUUGUAAAGUGCUGGCAGCAGCUAGAUAAUACUCAUCAAAGAUAUCAAGCUGAAGCUCUGAAACCUCUCUUCAGUUUACACAGUAAUUCAUCUGAAAUUGUGUUCUAUGGGAGUUUUUUUUCCAUGGAAACCUGAAGUGUAAUCCCCCAAACAACUCACUUCACUCUAAGGUAUAUGGACUUGAUGUUUAGAUACCACCCAGCUAUGUUAGUCUAGUUGCUAUGGUCCUGUUUUCUUUUUCAUGUAACCUUUGAUGAAUACAGUAACCGUCACAAGGAGCUGGAGGACUGCUAUAUGAAUGUGCCAUAUGGAGAGCGCUGGGUAGAGAUGUGCUUGCUAGAUGCAAAAAUGCUGCUAGUUUCUGCCAAGAAACUGACACUAUAAACAGCCUUGGCCUGCACUUACAUAGCAUCUCAAACCCCUUCACGCCGCUGCCAAAAUUUCUCACUGCAGAUUUUUUUUCAGCCAUCAUCUCUACCCCAUCACUCGGGGCUGGAGCCUGCCCGCAGCCCUCUGGGUUGCCUGUGAUUUACAGCUCAUCCAGCUCUCCCCAGCUCCAUCCCCUCACAAACCAAGAUUCCUGUUGCUUGUGACUUGGUGCAGGUGGCUCGCACUGCACACGCGUUGGCAGGCUUGGACCUGGGUCAUCCGAACCAAAAAGCUGAUGCCUUUACCCAGCUUGGGCCCUUGCAGCAUUUUUCUGUUAUCAUCAAGUUUCUUUUAUUUACAGCCUGCAGCUAAGCAAGGUGGCAAAUCUUCAGAUGAUGUAUCUUGGUGAGAGUAUUGACUUUCAAGCACAAGAGUAACCCAUGAAUGCAACGCUUGAUGAAGCUUAGAAAGCCAGCUAAGCUUCACGGAUUAUAAUUCUGCUCCUGUUUUCUCCUACUUUAAAAUGACUUUUCCCUUUUUACCAGUCUCAGCCAAUCCAGUUUACAAAGAUGUUGGUUAAGUUAUCAGUUCUGUGUUACAGAAGGAGAAAUUGAGAUAUGGAGAAGGGGAACAAUUUGUCUGGAGGUCACCAAGGAGGCAAAGCAGAACCAUAGUCUAAGUCCCCAGUUCUGCUGGGAAAACAAAAGUGGAACAAAAGUGUAUCUUCAGCUUUUGCUCAGUAAUCUAUACCCUUAUCAGCAACUUAUCUGCAUCAUUUUCUGAACCAAUAAGCUAAUUUUAAUGCCACAUUUAUAGUGCUGUGGUUCUUACUGUUUUCAGCCUUGUUUCAACUCAUCUACUGUGGGAAUCGUCUGAUCAGACGUAUCUGUAAUGCAUAUGUAGAUACAAGAGUAAAUCAUUUGAGGCUUUACAGGCAA